AACGAACGCUGGCGGCAUGCCUAACACAUGCAAGUCGAACGAGACCUUCGGGUCUAGUGGGGCACGGGUGCGUAACGCGUGGGAACCUGCCCUUAGGUUCGGAAUAACUCCCCGAAAGGGGUGCUAAUACCGGAUAAUGUCUUCGGACCAAAGAUUUAUCGCCUUUGGAUGGGCCCGCGUUGGAUUAGCUAGUUGGUAGGGUAAAAGCCUACCAAGGCGACGAUCCAUAGCUGGUCUGAGAGGAUGAUCAGCCACACUGGGACUGAGACACGGCCCAGACUCCUACGGGAGGCAGCAGUGGGGAAUAUUGGACAAUGGGCGAAAGCCUGAUCCAGCAAUGCCGCGUGAGUGAUGAAGGCCUUAGGGUUGUAAAGCUCUUUUACCCUGGAUGAUAAUGACAGUACCGGGAGAAUAAGCUCCGGCGAACUCCGU
rnacentral:rRNA from 1 species